GACGAAGGAUGCAAGCGUUAUCCGGAUUCAUUGGGUUUAAAGGGAGCGUAGGUGGUCUUAUAAGUCAGAGGUGAAAUCUCUGGGCUUAACCCAGAAAUUGCCAUUGAUACUGUAGGACUUGAGUAUAGUUGCCGUUGGCGGAAUAUGACAUGUAGUGGUGAAAUACAUAGAGAUGUCAUAGAACACCGAUUGCGAAGGCAGCUAACGAAACUAUAACUGACACUGAGGCUCGAAAGUGUGGGGAUCAAACAGG
rnacentral:rRNA from 1 species